UACGUAGGGUGCAAGCGUUGUACGGAUUUAUUGGGUUUAAAGGGUGCGUAAGUGGCUGAUUAAGUCAUGGGUGAAAGCCCUCAGCUCAAAUGUGGAAUUGCCUGUGAUUCUGAUUAGCUUGAGUGCGGUUGAGGUAACUGGAAUUGGUGGUGUAGCGGUGAAAUGCAUAGAUACCACCAGGAACACAGAUUGCGAAGGCAGGUUGCUAAGCCGUAACUGACACUGAUGCACGAAAGCGUGGGGAGCAAACAGG
rnacentral:rRNA from 1 species